AAUUCUACACACCAAAAGCAGACGCCCAUCCAUACACAAAUCAUCCACAGCAAUAAACCACAUCAGUUCACAGCAAAGAAGGUAGUCUUUCUUUUAUUCAAUAAUCCAUUCAUUGAGUAUAGAUCAACAGCCACGAACAAUCAAAAUAGAUAUAGUUAUACUAGUUAAGCAUAAGCAGCAGUAUACUUCGUCAUCAACGAUCCCAAUUUUCAAUAAUUGAACAAGAAACCAGAUAAAUAAAAAGAAAAGAAGAAAAGGUAGAAUCUUGGGCAGUAGACGAAGCUGCCACGCCGGAAUCGACGACGCCGAUCAAUUCCUGAAAUAGGAAACAGUUGUAGAUUUAUUAAAUUAAGGUUUUAAAAUUUGAUAAUAAAGAAAAAGAACAGAAAUAGAAGGAGAAGAGGAAAGAGGCAGCGGUAGCCGCGAACCCUCGCGGCGGAGGCGCAACCGCCGGCGCUGCCCGCGCCACGGCGGCCCGCGGUGGCUGCCAACAGCAGAGAGGGAAACAGGAAGGGAGAGAGACUUUGAGCGAUAAAGAGAGAUAGAGAGUGAGACUGAAAGAGAGACAGAUGUGAGAGGGAGAGGGAAGCAAAUCGAGAUAGAGGGAGAGAGAAAAGAGCAGGGCGGCGGCGACAAUCGGCGCUGCAUGCGCUGCCGCGGCCGCCGCGAGCAAGAGGGCAGAGGGGGAGAUCGAGAGGGAGAUCAGAGAAAGGACAGAGAGAUAGAUUGUGAGAGAAGGAGGAAAAGAGAUUACCUGGGAUGAAGACGGCGACGGACCUUGCCGGAGGGGUGGAUUCCAGAAGGAAAAAUAGAGCCAGAAAACCCUAGAAUUUGGGGGUUUUAGAAUUUGGGGAGAAAAUAGGGAAGGAAAGGAGAGGGCAGAAGAGGGGCCGGCCUCGCCGCGCCGGAGGCGGCGAGAACCGGCGAUGCUCGCCGAGAAAGAGAGAGAGAAGAGCGGUGAGAGAGAGAGAGAGCGCAGAGAGAGAGACGUUGGUGAGGAAAAAGAAAAGAAAAGAGAGAGACAUUAAGUUAUUUUAGUUGGGCUUAAGUUAAUAUGAUGUGCAUAUUAAUAUUCUAAUGGGCUUAAGUUAAAUUACAUUGCUAUUGGGCUUUGAAUUAAUUUAGUAACAGAUUUAUUUAAGUUGAGCCCUUAAUUUAUUUAAUUGGACCAUUGAUUUAUCAUUAUUUAAGCCCAAUAGUUUAUGUAAAUCCAAUAGUUUAUGUAAAUAAUAUUAACUAUUGUAAAUCCAAUAGUUUAUGUAAAUAAUAUUAGCUAUUCGUUCAUAAUUAGUUUGAGUUAUAUUGUCUAAACAUAUAGAAUUAUUUAGUUCAUUAAGAUUAAUUUAUACAUAAACCUUAUGUGUUUAUGCAUAAAUUAGACAAUAUAUAUUAUUUCAGAUCAAGUUCUUUAAAGAAAAGGAAAUAGAGAAUUUAAGUUAUUUCUAUGUUAAUAGUCGCUUAUUAAAUAGGUGUGAGCAGUGUUAUGUUAACACCGCAGUUAUAAUUAUCGCAGUUUAAGUUCAUGUUGAUAUUUAUUGGUAAGUUUGCCAAAUAUCAACUAGUCUUCAUAUCAAAAUUUUCAGUAGAACUAUCACCUUAAAACCAACAUAAGUAUUCUCUAAAUAAAUUUCAUAUCAUGUUCUCAUUAUUUAUUAGUCAGUAUUUAUACUGAAGGUCAAAUACAAGGGAAAAGAAGUAAAGCAUUAGUUCAGAGUUACUUGUGUCGUCAGACCACGAUCAGGUGGGCUUUCUAAACUCAAAAUCUGAAGUGCACACUAUUUCAUGAUGUUUACAUGAAUGAAGUUAUAUUAAAGUUAUUGACUUGCCAAAAUUUUAUGAGCUUGUAUGAUACCUAUCUGGCACCAGAAGUUAAUCGAAUUCGGAUCCUGUUCUAUCCAGAUGUUAGACAGGAUUAGUGUACACAAGGGACCGUGAGCCGAUUUAGCAUAUCGGCCGGCCUAGGACCGUGAGCCGGUUUAGCGUAUCGGCCGGCCUAAGACCGUGAGCCGGUUUAGCGUAUCGGCCGGUCUAGGUCCGUGAGCUGGUUUAGCGUAUCGGCCGGUCUAGGACCGUGAGCCGGUUUAGCGUAUCGGCCGGUCAGUGACCGUAGAAGGUGGCCACCUUCUCGGCACACAGUUAUCAUUGCAGAUAUGGUAUAGUACAAAGAAGUAUGUCUGCAGACGCAUAUGAAGUUUAUGAUAUGUAUAUAGAAGUUUUACAGUUUUGGCGUGCACAGGUUAUUUAAAUAAAACUCCUGUGUGAUGCUUGAGAUGGCAAGUUCAAUUUAUAGCUCUAAGAGCAAUCUUUAAAGUUAUUUCGGCAUGUGACCAUUGAGUACCUUUUUAGUACUCAGCCCUGCAUAUGUUUUCUAAAUGUGCAGGUUAAGCUGUGAUGCAGAUGGAUGUCAGCAGAGCAAAGCUUUUGAUAUAUAAGUACUAAAUUAGGCUCAGGAUUCCAUGUCUUCAUACAUGUAAUCCACUUAAGCUAUUCCGCUGCAACGCUUAGUGCGUUUUACUUUAUUGAUGUGUUGCAAAGAUUUCAAACUAAU
rnacentral:lncRNA from 1 species